UGGCGAACGGGUGAGUAACACGUGGGCAAUCUGCCCUUCACUCCGGGACAAGCCCUGGAAACGGGGUCUAAUACCGGAUAUCACUCCCACGGGCAUCUGUGGGGGUUGAAAGCUCCGGCGGUGAAGGAUGAGCCCGCGGCCUAUCAGCUUGUUGGUGAGGUAGUGGCUCACCAAGGCGACGACGGGUAGCCGGCCUGAGAGGGCGACCGGCCACACUGGGACUGAGACACGGCCCAGACUCCUACGGGAGGCAGCAGUGGGGAAUAUUGCACAAUGGGCGCAAGCCUGAUGCAGCGACGCCGCGUGAGGGAUGACGGCCUUCGGGUUGUAAACCUCUUUCAGCAGGGAAGAAGCGAGAGUGACGGUACCUGCAGAAGAAGCGCCGGCUAACUACGUGCCAGCAGCCGCGGUAAUACGUAGGGCGCAAGCGUUGUCCGGAAUUAUUGGGCGUAAAGAGCUCGUAGGCGGUCUGUCGCGUCGGUUGUGAAAGCCCGGGGCUUAACCCCGGGUCUGCAGUCGAUACGGGCAGACUAGAGUGUGGUAGGGGAGAUCGGAAUUCCUGGUGUAGCGGUGAAAUGCGCAGAUAUCAGGAGGAACACCGGUGGCGAAGGCGGAUCUCUGGGCCAUUACUGACGCUGAGGAGCGAAAGCGUGGGGAGCGAACAGGAUUAGAUACCCUGGUAGUCCACGCCGUAAACGGUGGGAACUAGGUGUUGGCGACAUUCCACGUCGUCGGUGCCGCAGCUAACGCA
rnacentral:rRNA from 1 species